rnacentral:lncRNA from 1 species
UUUUUUUUUUCUAAAGAUGAAGCUAACUGUAGCAAAGGGCAGCGGCGACGUAGAGGUUCCUUCUCGGUUGAGAAGGAUCAGUGUUCGUGAUUGUCAGCUUCACCCUUCCUCACAUAAUUUUUUUUUUUAUUGCCACGGCAACACUGCAGCGAGAAUGCCAAGGAUCGAUGCUCUGAUACUAAUUGAUAAGACCCUAAAG